GAGGACGAGGCUGUCUGUGUGAGGAAUCUAAAACUCCUGUCAAAUAAAUUUCUGACAGGAGACCAGGUGAUCCAAGAGUGGACCUCUUUCAGGCAACAUAUCCUGAUAGGAGCAUUCCAGGGCAUGGACCAGCAGCAGAUAAUGACGCGACUGGCGUCACAGAUUGACGAGUGGGGUCAGCUUUAUCCUGGACUCAAUAAACUGGCUGCCAUUGGUCUCACAAUUCCAGUCUCAAGUGUCAACUGUGAGCGUGACUUUUCAACACUGAACAGGGUGAAGACUGACCUGAGAAACAGGCUACAGGGAGAGCAUCUGGCGACUUGUUUGAGAGUCAGCAUCAAUGGCC